CCACAUGAAGUUGGAGUUGCUAGUAAUCGCGAAUCAGCAUGUCGCGGUGAAUACGUUCCCGGGCCUUGUACACACCGCCCGUCACACCAUGGGAGUUGGGAGCACCCGAAGCCGGUGAGUUGACCGAAAGGGGACAGCCGUCGAAGGUGAGACCGAUGACUGGGGUGAAGUCGUAACAAGGUACC
rnacentral:rRNA from 1 species